rnacentral:piRNA from 1 species
UUUGAGCGGACCAGCGCGUCGGGCGGAAGC